rnacentral:rRNA from 1 species
CGAACGUAGGUAACCUGCCCAUGUGUCCGGGAUAACUGCUGGAAACGGUAGCUAAACCGGAAUAGGUAGUACAGAGCGCAUGCUCAGUAUAUUAAAGCGCCCAUCAAGGCGUGAACAUGGAUGGACCUGCGGCGCAUUAGCUAGUUGGUGAGGUAACGGCCCACCAAGGCGAUGAUGCGUAGCCGGCCUGAGAGGGUAAACGGCCACAUUGGGACUGAGACACGGCCCAA